rnacentral:rRNA from 2 species
UACGUAGGUCCCGAGCGUUGUCCGGAUUUAUUGGGCGUAAAGCGAGCGCAGGUGGUUUAAUAAGUCUGGUGUAAAAGGCAGUGGCUCAACCAUUGUAUGCAUUGGAAACUGGUAGACUUGAGUGCAGGAGAGGAGAGUGGAAUUCCAUGUGUAGCGGUGAAAUGCGUAGAUAUAUGGAGGAACACCGGUGGCGAAAGCGGCUCUCUGGCCUGUAACUGACACUGAGGCUCGAAAGCGUGGGGAGCAAACAGG